CAGGCGACCAAACCGAACAAACGGAGAGAAACGCGGGACACAUUACAGUGCAGCACCAAAUACGCUAUACUCUCUCGUCUCUCAAUCCUUCGUCUCUCUCUCUCCUUACCUCUCUUUCGUUCCGAAUUUGAUUCGAUUCCUUAGGAAACCCUAACUGACUCUGAAUUUAAAAUGGAAAAAUCUGUGGAGACUACCACCACCACCGAGGUCACCGUCAGGAAAGCUGCA
rnacentral:misc_RNA from 1 species